AUGAACGCUGGCGGCAUGCCUUACACAUGCAAGUCGAACGGCAGCACGGGAGCAAUCCUGGUGGCGAGUGGCGAACGGGUGAGUAAUAUAUCGGAUCGUGCCCAGUCGUGGGGGAUAACGUAGCGAAAGCUACGCUAAUACCGCAUACGAUCUAUGGAUGAAAGCGGGGGAUCGCAAGACCUCGCGCGAUUGGAGCGGCCGAUAUCAGAUUAGGUAGUUGGUGAGGUAAAGGCUCACCAAGCCGACGAUCUGUAGCUGGUCUGAGAGGACGACCAGCCACACUGGGACUGAGACACGGCCCAGACUCCUACGGGAGGCAGCAGUGGGGAAUUUUGGACAAUGGGCGCAAGCCUGAUCCAGCAAUGCCGCGUGCAGGAUGAAGGCCUUCGGGUUGUAAACUGCUUUUGUACGGAACGAAACGGUGAGCUCUAAUACAGUUUGCUAAUGACGGUACCGUAAGAAUAAGCACCGGCUAACUACGUG
rnacentral:rRNA from 1 species